rnacentral:rRNA from 1 species
UACGUAGGGGGGCAAGCGUUGUCCGGAAUCAUUGGGCGUAAAGAGCGCGUAGGCGGUCCGAUAAGUCGGCUGUGAAAGUCAGGGGCUCAACCCUUGAAAGCCGGCCGAUACUGUCGGACUAGAGUUCGGAAGAGGCGAGUGGAAUUCCCGGUGUAGCGGUGAAAUGCCGCAGAUAGUCGGAGGAACACCAAUGGCGAAGGCAGCUCGCUGGGACGUGACUGACGCUGAGGCGCGAAAAGCGUGGGGAGCAAACAGG